UGUGUGUGUUACACCUGUUGCGUUGCUGUUAACCUGAUACCCUCUGUCAUCAUAUCUGCACAUCAUCAGACACUUUUUAGCUUAAAUGAAAAAAAUAUCAAAGUAAAUCAAAAGUAGACUCACUUUAACCAAACUGCUCUUCUUUUAUGCAAAGAUUCAAUUCAAUUUUAUUUUAUUUAUAUAGCGCCAAAUCACAACAUAAGUCGCCUCAAGGCGCUUUAAAAACCAAAAACACAGAAUCAUUUAAUCUUUCCAGGCAGGUUUGGACUUUUGAAUUUCCCCUAUAGUGACCAGUCUCUCUACUUGAAACUUGUGUGAAAGCCUCACAGGAAUGUUCAGUUGAGUGGCCUGUGCUUGCAGGUUUGGCAUGUUUGCUAACUGAGUGUCUGUAAGCUCGAAUUAUGAGGAUGAACUCUGAUUGUUUCACUUCAUGCUUUUGCUGCUAGAAAUAUAAAAAGGCAAAAUAAAUUUGUCUUGUUGCCAUGGUUUUAUGACGUGUCAAGAAACAUGCUUCAGGGAAUGAUAGCGUAAGAUGAUAAUAGCUCACAGUUUAAACAAGCAGGAGUAUCUGAAGUGGCUGACGCAGAGACAGUGGAGUCAGAUUUUUUUUUUUUUUUUUGGCCUUCUUAUUUACUGCCCAAUGUGUAAGUCGGAGAAACCAGAGUGCUCCUUCUUUAACAUCUUUCUGGCAGAUGAUGACGUUGAUCUCGUGUAUGCAGCACACUGCAGCAGCACCUUGUGAUUAUGGAGGUUAGCAUUACUAUGCUACAUUAUCCACCCUAAAUGCGACUCAGACUUUAAUAGUUGUAAAGAGGGUUGGGUUUUAUAAGACGAAGCACUGACUGGGUUUAGAGUUUAAGGUAAGCCAGCAGACAUUAUUUAUAGGCCAGCUGACUGUAGUGAAGAAGCUGAUCAGGGAUCAGAUAUUAACAACUGCUGGGACCAACAACUGCUGCUUUCCAAUAUAGCCCUGUGUGGCUGCAGCAAAGCUGAGCACUAACAGAGGAGGGUCACACCAAAAGGUUAAGAGUCUGCCACAGGAAAUGGCAUUGAGCUGGUCACAUUAGCUCUAUUAGAGUCAGAUCAGGAUGCUAUGUUUGCUAUAAGAUGAAGUGGCAGCUUCUGACCAGGAAACAUUUCGUUUAAAUUGAUGAUCACAUAUCCGGUUGCUUUUCUUGAGAACCGACAGGUGCAAUAGUUUAAUCACGUGUGCUAGCAGCUUCUAGCCUCACAGGCCUGUACUCCAUACAUAAGUUAUGCUGCUGCCCGGGUUGGGUAGGUUAGGUCUGCAGGUAUAGGUGUGAAUGCGGGAGUGAAUG
ensembl:lncRNA